rnacentral:rRNA from 1 species
AUUGAACGCUGGCGGCAUGCUUUACACAUGCAAGUCGAACGGUAACAGGCCGCAAGGUGCUGACGAGUGGCGAACGGGUGAGUAAUGCAUCGGAACGUGCCCAGUCGUGGGGGAUAACGCAGCGAAAGCUGCGCUAAUACCGCAUACGAUCUAUGGAUGAAAGCGGGGGACCGUAAGGCCUCGCGCGAUUGGAGCGGCCGAUGUCAGAUUAGGUAGUUGGUGGGGUAAAGGCUCACCAAGCCGACGAUCUGUAGCUGGUCUGAGAGGACGACCAGCCACACUGGGACUGAGACACGGCCCAGACUCCUGCGGGAGGCAGCAGUGGGGAAUUUUGGACAAUGGGGGCAACCCUGAUCCAGCAAUGCCGCGCGCAGGAAGAAGGCCUUCGGGUUGUAAACUGCUUUUGUACGGAACGAAACGGCUCUGGUUAAUACCUGGGGCUAAUGACGGUACCGUAAGAAUAAGCACCGGCUAACUACGUGCCAGCAGCCGCCGUAACAC